GAAUAGCUCAGUUGGUAGAGCACGACCUUGCCAAGGUCGGGGUCGCGAGUUCGAGUCUCGUUUC
rnacentral:tRNA from 24 species